rnacentral:rRNA from 1 species
GUGGUUGCGGCAGCUUACCAUGCAGUCGAGCGGGCGCAGGUUGCUUCGGUGACUCGAGCUAGCGGCGGACGGGUGAGUAAUGCUUAGGAAUCUGCCUAUUAGUGGGGGACAACAUUCCGAAAGGAAUGCUAAUACCGCAUACGCCCUACGGGGGAAAGCAGGGGAUCUUCGGACCUUGCGCUAAUAGAUGAGCCUAAGUCACAUUAGCUAGUUGGUGGGGUAAAGGCCUACCAAGGCGACGAUCUGUAGCGGGUCUGAGAGGAUGAUCCGCCACACUGGGACUGAGACACGGCCCAGACUCCUACAGGAGGCAGCAGUGGGGAAUAUUGGACAAUGGGCGAAAGCCUGAUCCAGCCAUGCCGCGUGUGUGAAGAAGGCCUUUUGGUUGUAAAGCACUUUAAGCGAGGAGGAGGCUACUUGGAUUAAUACUCUAGGAUAGUGGACGUUACUCGCAAAAUAAGCACCGGCUAACUCUGUGCCACCAGCCGCGGUAAUACAGAGGGUGCGAGCGUUAAUCGGAUUUACUGGGCGUAAAGCGUGCGUAGGCGGCUUUUUAAUUCUGAUGUGAAAUCCCUGAGCUUAACUUACGAAUUGCAUUCUAUACUGGGAAGCUAAAGUAUGGGAGAGGAUGGUAGAAUUCCAAGUGUACCGGUGAAAUGCGUAGAGAUCUGGAGGAAUACCGAUGGCGAAGGCAGCCAUCUGGCCUAAUACUGACGCUGACGUACGAAAGCAUGGGGAGCAAACAGGAUUAGAUACCCUGGUACUCCAUGCCGUAAACGAUGUCUACUAGCCGUUGGGGCCUUUGAGGCUUUAGUGGCGCAGCUAACGCGAUAAGUAUACCGCCUGGGGAGUACGGUCGCAAGACUAAACUCAAAUGAAUUGAGGGUGCCCGCACACCCGGUGGAGCAUGUGGUUUAUUCUAUACUACGCGAAAACCUUACCUGGUCUUGACUAUAGAACUUUCCAGAGAUGGAUGGUGCUUCGGAACUACAUACAGAUGCUGCAUGCUGUCGUCAGCUCCUGUCGUGAAUGUUAGAUUAAGUCCUGCACCAGCCCAACCCUUUCCCUAGUCGCACGGCUAGCCUAGCCUUAAGGAUACUGGCAGUGACGACUGAGGAGCGGAGACACGCAGUCAUCAUGCCUACCACUAGGCCUACGCGCUGCCUACGAUGACGUCAAAGGUUGCGACUAGACAAGAGUCGAUCAGGCGAUCGAAUCCGAAUGGAGUCGGAGCCUGCACACUGAGUGCAG